rnacentral:rRNA from 1 species
GAUGAACGCUGGCGGCGUGCCUAAUACAUGCAAGUCGAGCGAACAGAUGAGGAGCUUGCUCCUCUGACGUUAGCGGCGGACGGGUGAGUAACACGUGGAUAACCUACCUAUAAGACUGGGAUAACUUCGGGAAACCGGAGCUAAUACCGGAUAAUAUAUUGAACCGCAUGGUUCAAUAGUGAAAGACGGUUUUGCUGUCACUUAUAGAUGGAUCCGCGCCGCAUUAGCUAGUUGGUAAGGUAACGGCUUACCAAGGCGACGAUGCGUAGCCGACCUGAGAGGGUGAUCGGCCACACUGGAACUGAGACACGGUCCAGACUCCUACGGGAGGCAGCAGUAGGGAAUCUUCCGCAAUGGGCGAAAGCCUGACGGAGCAACGCCGCGUGAGGGAUGAAGGUCUUCGGAUCGUAAAACUCUGUUAUUAGGGAAGAACAAAUGUGUAAGUAACUAUGCACGUCUUGACGGUACCUAAUCAGAAAGCCACGGCUAAUUACGUG